rnacentral:rRNA from 1 species
CAGAUUGAACGCUGCGGAAUGCUUUACACAUGCAAGUGAACGGUAGAGGGGCAACCCUUGAGAGUGGCGAACGGGUGAGUAAUAUAUCGGAACGUGCCCAGUCGUGGGGGAUAACGUAGCGAAAGUUACGCUAAUACCGCAUACGAUCUAAGGAUGAAAGCGGGGGAUCGCAAGACCUCGCGCGAUUGGAGCGGCCGAUAUCAGAUUAGGUAGUUGGUGAGGUAAAGGCUCACCAAGCCAACGAUCUGUAGCUGGUCUGAGAGGACGACCAGCCACACUGGAACUGAGACACGGUCCAGACUCCUACGGGAGGCAGCAGUGGGGAAUAUUGGACAAUGGGCGCAAGCUGAUCCAGCAAUGCCGCGUGCAGGAUGAAGGCCUUCGGGUUGUAAACUGCUUUUGUACAGGAAGAAACCCUCCCACGUGUGGGAGCUUGACGGUACUGUAGGAAUAAGGAUCGGCUAACUCCGUG